UAUUUAAUUUUUUUUUGUUAGAUUUUUGAUUUGUUUUAACGGUCUCAUGUGAAUUAAUUUCAUUGCAUUGGAAUGGAACGUCGAUUACUUAGUUAGUAAUCGCAUAAGACAUUGCACAGUAACUGCGUUAUCGGUGGCAAGAAGAACCACACCGGGUUUUUUUUCUCGACGAUGAAAGGCUUCCUAACCCUACUCAUGUUCUGGGAUCUUUCUUUCUUAUUCACACGUCGAAGUAAUAAAGUCACUACCUUCAAUAAAAAGAAAAAAAAAAAAAAAAAGGAUACAUUGUGUAAGGUAUACUUCGUUGAAGUCGAACAUAUUAUAUAUACAUUUAUAUAAACGUGAACUGACUAAAGAAGUGAUUGUAUUUGGUUUAGAGGAAUUAUCUUGUUCCACGUGAUUAGUGUCCCAGUUAAAUAUUUCCUUAGGACUGGGAACCUAAUUUGAAUCCCCUCCAAUUUUCUGGAGAAAAUUUUAAGUUGGUCCUUAUUAAGAAUAUUUGGAGCACGUGACUACCCAUGGUAGUUGGUUUAGCUGAGGUUCCAUGAUUUUUGGGACUCAAAACAUCUUUCCAUACCGAUUGUUUUACGGCAAACAUUUUUUAUUGUUUGCUGGGAUUUUUUUUCUUUUUUGAUAGAAUACACACUUAUUUGAUCGACAUUGCAAAUUCGGCCAAAGAGGUCAAUCAUCGAUCACCCAUAAUCAACGUGCCAUCAUAUCAACGAAGAAGAAAUCCAAAGAGCAGAAAAAACAACACUCGAAAGAAGCCCACAACGGUUUAUCGUGUCAACCAUUGGCUUAAAAUUUGUUUUGUUGAGAAAGAAGUACAUUUAUAGCUGUCUCGUUACGUCCAUCGCACAAAAAUAAUAAUGCUAUUUGAUCCAGCGAAAGCAGAAUAUAUGGAAUAAGUAGUAAAGGAAUACGCAAUUUUUGGGAGGAGUUAAAUCUAGAGGUUUGUUCCUGAAAUUUUUUUUAUAAUAUUAAAAUUUCCGUCCUAAUUUAGAUAAAAUAGUCAUAAGAUAAUUCAUAGUUUAUAAAUUAAGCCCAACAAGCAAUCAUCGAAAAUCUUCAGCAAUCUAUGUAAUCAAAAAUUCAACUCCAUCCAACGAUUUGCAGAGGCCUCUUCAGAUUCGACGGAAAAUGGU